CGGCAAGACGGAAAGACCCCGUGAACCUUUACUAUAGCUUGACACUGAACAUUGAGCCUUGAUGUGUAGGAUAGGUGGGAGGCUUUGAAGUGUGGACGCCAGUCUGCAUGGAGCCGACCUUGAAAUACCACCCUUUAAUGUUUGAUGUUCUAACGUGGACCCGUAAUCCGGGUUGCGGACAGUGUCUGGUGGGUAGUUUGACUGGGGCGGUCUCCUCCUAAAGAGUAACGGAGGAGCACGAAGGUUGGCUAAUCCUGGUCGGACAUCAGGAGGUUAGUGCAAUGGCAUAAGCCAGCUUGACUGCGAGCGUGACGGCGCGAGCAGGUGCGAAAGCAGGUCAUAGUGAUCCGGUGGUUCUGAAUGGAAGGGCCAUCGCUCAACGGAUAAAAGGUACUCCGGGGAUAACAGGCUGAUACCGCCCAAGAGUUCAUAUCGACGGCGGUGUUUGGCACCUCGAUGUCGGCUCAUCACAUCCUGGGGCUGAAGUAGGUCCCAAGGGUAUGGCUGUUCGCCAUUUAAAGUGGUACGCGAGCUGGGUUUAGAACGUCGUGAGACAGUUCGGUCCCUAUCUGCCGUGGGCGCUGGAGAACUGAGGGGGGCUGCUCCUAGUACGAGAGGACCGGAGUGGACGCAUCACUGGUGUUCGGGUUGUCAUGCCAAUGGCACUGCCCGGUAGCUAAAUGCGGAAGAGAUAAGUGCUGAAAGCAUCUAAGCACGAAACUUGCCCCGA
rnacentral:rRNA from 2 species